AACGUAGGUACCGAGCGUUAUCCGGAUUUACUGGGCGUAAAGCGUGUUCAGGCGGCCUGGCAAGUCGGGCAUGAAAUCUCUCGGCUCAACCGAGAGAGGCUGUCCGAUACUGCUGGGCUUGAGGACGGUAGAGGGUGGUGGAAUUCCGCGUGUAGUGGUGAAAUGCGUAGGUAUGCGGAGGAACACCAGUGGCGAAGGCGGCCACCUGGACCGUCCCUGACGCUCAAACACGAAAGCUAGGGUAGCGAACGGG
rnacentral:rRNA from 1 species